rnacentral:rRNA from 1 species
GAUUAAGUUAUUAAGGGCGCACGGUGGAUGCCUUGGCACUAGAAGCCGAUGAAGGACGUUACUAACGACGAUAUGCUUUGGGGAGCUGUAAGUAAGCUUUGAUCCAGAGAUUUCCGAAUGGGGAAACCCAGCAUGAGUUAUGUCAUGUUAUCGAUAUGUGAAUACAUAGCAUAUCAGAAGGCACACCCGGAGAACUGAAACAUCUUAGUACCCGGAGGAAGAGAAAGAAAAUUCGAUUCCCUUAGUAGCGGCGAGCGAAACGGGAAGAGCCCAAACCAACAAGCUUGCUUGUUGGGGUUGUAGGACACUCUAUACGGAGUUACAAAGGACGACAUUAGACGAAUCAUCUGGAAAGAUGAAUCAAAGAAGGUAAUAAUCCUGUAGUCGAAAAUGUUGUCUCUCUUGAGUGGAUCCUGAGUACGACGGAGCACGUGAAAUUCCGUCGGAAUCUGGGAGGACCAUCUCCUAAGGCUAAAUACUCUCUAGUGACCGAUAGUGAACCAGUACCGUGAGGGAAAGGUGAAAAGCACCCCGGAAGGGGAGUGAAAUAGAACCUGAAACCGUGUGCUUACAAGUAGUCAGAGCCCGUUAAUGGGUGAUGGCGUGCCUUUUGUAGAAUGAACCGGCGAGUUACGAUUUGAUGCAAGGUUAAGCAGUAAAUGUGGAGCCGUAGCGAAAGCGAGUCUGAAUAGGGCGUUUAGUAUUUGGUCGUAGACCCGAAACCAGGUGAUCUACCCUUGGUCAGGUUGAAGUUCAGGUAACACUGAAUGGAGGACCGAACCGACUUACGUUGAAAAGUGAGCGGAUGAACUGAGGGUAGCGGAGAAAUUCCAAUCGAACCUGGAGAUAGCUGGUUCUCUCCGAAAUAGCUUUAGGGCUAGCCUCAAGUGAUGAUUAUUGGAGGUAGAGCACUGUUUGGACGAGGGGCCCCUCUCGGGUUACCGAAUUCAGACAAACUCCGAAUGCCAAUUAAUUUAACUUGGGAGUCAGAACAUGGGUGAUAAGGUCCGUGUUCGAAAGGGAAACAGCCCAGACCACCAGCUAAGGUCCCAAAAUAUAUGUUAAGUGGAAAAGGAUGUGGCGUUGCCCAGACAACUAGGAUGUUGGCUUAGAAGCAGCCAUCAUUUAAAGAGUGCGUAAUAGCUCACUAGUCGAGUGACACUGCGCCGAAAAUGUACCGGGGCUAAACAUAUUACCGAAGCUGUGGAUUGUCCUUUGGACAAUGGUAGGAGAGCGUUCUAAGGGCGUUGAAGCAUGAUCGUAAGGACAUGUGGAGCGCUUAGAAGUGAGAAUGCCGGUGUGAGUAGCGAAAGACGGGUGAGAAUCCCGUCCACCGAUUGACUAAGGUUUCCAGAGGAAGGCUCGUCCGCUCUGGGUUAGUCGGGUCCUAAGCUGAGGCCGACAGGCGUAGGCGAUGGAUAACAGGUUGAUAUUCCUGUACCACCUAUAAUCGUUUUAAUCGAUGGGGGGACGCAGUAGGAUAGGCGAAGCGUGCGAUUGGAUUGCACGUCUAAGCAGUAAGGCUGAGUAUUAGGCAAAUCCGGUACUCGUUAAGGCUGAGCUGUGAUGGGGAGAAGACAUUGUGUCUUCGAGUCGUUGAUUUCACACUGCCGAGAAAAGCCUCUAGAUAGAAAAUAGGUGCCCGUACCGCAAACCGACACAGGUAGUCAAGAUGAGAAUUCUAAGGUGAGCGAGCGAACUCUCGUUAAGGAACUCGGCAAAAUGACCCCGUAACUUCGGGAGAAGGGGUGCUCUUUAGGGUUAACGCCCAGAAGAGCCGCAGUGAAUAGGCCCAAGCGACUGUUUAUCAAAAACACAGGUCUCUGCUAAACCGUAAGGUGAUGUAUAGGGGCUGACGCCUGCCCGGUGCUGGAAGGUUAAGAGGAGUGGUUAGCUUCUGCGAAGCUACGAAUCGAAGCCCCAGUAAACGGCGGCCGUAACUAUAACGGUCCUAAGGUAGCGAAAUUCCUUGUCGGGUAAGUUCCGACCCGCACGAAAGGCGUAACGAUUUGGGCACUGUCUCAACGAGAGACUCGGUGAAAUCAUAGUACCUGUGAAGAUGCAGGUUACCCGCGACAGGACGGAAAGACCCCGUGGAGCUUUACUGUAGCCUGAUAUUGAAAUUCGGCACAGCUUGUACAGGAUAGGUAGGAGCCUUUGAAACGUGAGCGCUAGCUUACGUGGAGGCGCUGGUGGGAUACUACCCUA